AGUGGCGAACGGGUGCGUAACACGUGGGCAACAUGCCUGGAAGAGCGGGAUAGCCCGGGGAAACUCGGAUUAAUACCGCAUGUGACAACGGGGCGGCUUCGCCCUGUUUUCAAAGGUGGGGACCGCAAGGCCUGCCGCUUCCAGAUUGGCCCGCGUCCUAUCAGCUAGUUGGCGGGGUAACGGCCCACCAAGGCGACGACGGGUAGCUGGUCUGAGAGGACGACCAGCCACACUGGAACUGAGACACGGUCCAGACACCUACGGGUGGCAGCAGUCGAGAAUCUUUCACAAUGGGGGAAACCCUGAUGGAGCGACGCCGCGUGGAGGAUGACGGUCUUCGGAUUGUAAACUCCUGUCAUGAAAGAACAAGCGAUGCGGGUGAACAGCCCGCAAAGUUGAUAGUAUUUCAAGAGGAAGGGACGGCUAACUUCGUGCCAGCAGCCGCGGUAAUACGAAGGUCCCAAGCGUUGUUCGGAAUCACUGGGCGUAAAGAGUGCGUAGGCGGCGCGGAAAGUCAGAUGUGAAAUCCCGGGGCUCAACCUCGGAACGGCAUCCGAUACUCCCGCGCUCGAGGACUGGAGGGGAGUCUGGAAUUCACGGUGUAGCAGUGAAAUGCGUAGAUAUCGUGAGGAACACUAGUGGCGAAGGCGAGACUCUGGACAGUUCCUGACGCUGAGGCACGAAGGCCAGGGGAGCGAAG
rnacentral:rRNA from 1 species